UGAUCAUAGAUUGUGUUUUGCACUGCAGUUUCUUUUGAUGCCUCUUUUUGUUUUGUUGGGUUUAGUAAAUGCAUGCAUUUUGUUUCUUUUGCUGCAGAAAUUCAAUACAAAAAAUGAAUGACCAUCUUAGAGUAGCUUUAUAGAAUGUACAGUUUAUGAAAAAAAAAAAAAGACAGAGACAGAAUUGCUGCAGUAAAGACUUUAUUUGUAAAAGGACAUUGCUGCAAGAUAUACAAACAGAAAAAGCACUGGAAUAAUAAUAACAAAAACAAAGUAAUCUUCUAAUCUGCCCGGUCUUCUGCAUUUGGCCACAUGUUCUCAUCCUCUACCUUGCCCCACUCCUCUCCCUUGUCCUUGCCCCACUCCUCUCCCUUGUCCUUGUCCCACUCCUCUCCCUUGUCCUUGCCCCACUCCUCUCCCUUGUCCUUGUCCUUGUCCCACUCCUCUCCCUUGUCCUUGUCCCACUCCUCUCCCUUGUCCUUGUCCCACUCCUCUCCCUUGUCCUGGUACUCGUCUUCCUCUCCGUCGUGCAGGCAUUUUUUUCUUUCUUUCUUUCUUUCUUUUCUUUGUGUUGCUCCAUAUUGUUCGUUUUCCACACAAUAUCAGCCCAAAGAGUACUCUUUUAGAACAUAUGAUCAUGUGAUUGAAAGAACCUCAACACCUGAGUGUGCUUCCUAGAUGGGAAUCAGCUGUGAUUUAUAUAUUUGCAUAACUUCAAUAGCAAUGGAAUAAGAUACAAGGAAUAUAUUUGUGUUUCAAUUCACAAUAUACAUAGCUGUUUACCUUGACUUUAGCCUGUAAGGUUAGGUUUAGAACAUGGUGUUAUCUGUUCUGACAUACAGUGUGAAAGCGUUUGUAAAUUUGACUGUAAAAUUACAUUGUUUUGGUCUUGGUUGAGCUUGUGUGUAAAAGAAGUUCAAGCAUUUUAAUUUGUGUUAACUGUAUGCAUUUUGUGUCAAAGCAACAAGAAAUGUGUUAAUUGUAUAGCCUACAAAGAUGGAUGUUGUGCUAGCCGUGUUAAGAGUUUAGGAAACUUGUUAAAUGUAUUGAAAAAACUGUCAUAGCGAUUGUAAAAAACUGUAAUGCAUGUCUGUGUGUAAGCUAGUGUGUGUCCAACUGCCUAAAACACUAAGGUACAUGGCUUGGAUGACUUGACAGCACAGGGCCGAGACAGAAGUUCUUUUAAGGGCUCCUAGGGGACAGGUGGACGUCAGGUGUUACAUGGGCAAAGGUCCAAGGACAACGUGGAGCACAAUUGUUCUCACACAAAGAAAAUAUGUUGAACGCUUGCACAUUCUGCAAUUGAACUGCACACACAACACUCUAGACUCUAGAGUGUGAGAAAAAAAGAUAUGCUGUCAGAAGUGUAGACAAAGGGUGUUAUUUGAAAAAAACUAUGAGCUGACAGCAGAAACACACUUUGUUGAAGUUAACCAUCCAGUCUUUCUCAGAAAUACGUUGAAUUUGAGGAAGUGACUACCUAGAAGAGGAUGUAACAUUGAGAGCUGUAGAUGGCGGCCUACUUGAUCACCUAUCUGAAAACAUUGACCCCUAGUGGUCUAAAUAUUGACUUUGACCUCAGGCCAUUCUCAUGGACAUGCCUACCACACAAAAAAAAUACAGUGGGGCCACCAAUUGUGCAAGUUCUCCCACUUAAAAAGAUGAGAGAGGCUGUUGUGGAAAUGUCUUUAAUAAUGUAUUCUAACUGAUUAAACGACUGAGCAACUGUUUAGAUGAGAAAAGGAAUGUUGGUUGUGCUGUGGGAAAGGAAGUAUGAGGUGUUGAGGUAAACAUGAAGCUCCAGCAGGAUGGGGGUAGAUGCAGAUCAAUGGGUUUUAGGACAGGAUAGGAGAAGAUACACAACAGGGGGCAGUAAGGAUAAGGUGGGGGAAGAUAGCAUUUGACUUGUGUGAUAGAACAAAGGGAAUGUGUUUUAUUGACAUAGGACAGCAUCUUACCACACCCCUUUGUCUAUGUAAUAAAUACUGUUGAAAUGAUGUUUUGAGUCAGAGACUCCUCGGAUGAUUAUGUCUGUAAGCAUUUGACGUGUCUCUCUCAUUUGCAAAAGAUUUAAUAAAUGAACUGUUAAUUUGUGCUAAGAGCAUUUCGUCUCUGUACUUCCUUCUAAAAGAGUUCUGAUAGAUAAAAUUACCGUCACAAGGCC
ensembl:lncRNA